UGGAGGAGUGCAAAGCGUCAAAGGUUCAACCAGAAUGAACCUGGGUGAGCCAUGAUGUAAACAUUAUGCAAACAAAUAUAAAAGUAAUUAAGCAUGAAUGAAUUAUUUUUAUGAUGAAAAGUUGUUUACAUGUUAACUGCUAAAUACUUAUAAAUAAUGUGUGACUGGUUAAGCAGCUAGUCCCUUUGUUUAGGUCUAGUCCCUUAGCGUUCUGUUCAAGAUUCUGUUUCUGUCUUUUCAUUAUAAAUUUCAUAUUUUCCCAAAUGGAUAGGUUAAUCUGUGGUUCUUUCCAGUUCAUUAGUUGACAUAUAGUCAAUGAGAAUUGAUUGGGGUCUUGACCAUGUCCAGUUUAAGGUGGUCUUCUGGAUCAGAACGUGGGCUAUUUUUUGGAUUUCCUGAUCUUAAUUGCUGAUCCAUUCCAGGCGGAAAUAUUGCUGUUUUGGUGCCGGAUCAUGAGUAGAAUAUUUUAUAUUUUGAUGAGUGUUUUGUGUGUCAGGUCAUUGACUCAAUUACUUAACAUACUUGAAUGCUUUGUGUGAAAGCAAGUGUGGCAUGUGUCUGAUACGUUUUUGCCCUUAGGCAUUGAACUUGUAUCCUUGACUUUGUGCUUUGGAGAGCUAGUUUGGAUGUUCAUUUGAUCUUUUUACAUUUAUGAUUUAGUCUUGCUGUGGAAGUUAGGAUUAUAAAUAUAGCUUCAAAUAUGGU
rnacentral:misc_RNA from 1 species